rnacentral:tRNA from 1 species
GGGGAGGUAGCUCAGUGGUUAGAGCGCCAUGGUUUCCUUAAAAAGAAAUCACUGGAGGUCGGUGGUUCGAGUCCACCCCUCCCCC